AUGAGACAGUGACCUUGCUGGAGACAAGGGAAUAAUUGUCACCUGUCCACGGGAGGAUCUCCCCUUGGCUGAGUGAAGCAUACAUGGACUCGUUAUGUUUUUGGGAGCAGGAAGAACUGGGCUUGCAGAUGCAGCGAGCUCUGCCGGAGCGAAGACAAAUGGACAGGGUUUCCAGUUUCCAAACCUGAUGUGAUCUCGCAGCUGGAAUGAGGGGAACAGCCGUGGGUCUUAGACCUCUAUGGCUCUGAAAAAAAGUGCUCCCGAGAGCUGUGUGCACAGGUGAUGAGAUGGUGAGUGAGAACGAGGAGGAGAAUCCCCAGCAGGAAGAUGCUGAGCGAGUAGAACCACAAGGGAUGUUAUCAGGAAUAUCCAAAGGGAAUGUUUCCGGGAGUUGUGCACUCCCAGAAAAAGCAAAAGCCUGUGAGACUAAGCACAGGCCAGAGGAAAACUUCAGUAGCCACUCAGACCUUAUUACACGCGAG